rnacentral:lncRNA from 1 species
UCCAUAUAAAAGCGUCUUCGGCAUAAAUCAAUAUUGGGACUUGAACCCAAUAUUUAUAUCUUACUUUUUUGGUGCGACGAGAUUUGAAUCCACCGUCUUAUUCUUGAGAGGUUGAAGCUGCUAGGACAUGUAAAUUGUUACCGAAACCAGAUGCCUACAUCAAAGAGCUAUGUAAUGUAUUAGCAAGCCCAGGCAAAAAAAGAAGUGCAAGAUAUAAUACACGGGUAAUAAUAACAAGUUUAUAUAACAAAUUUGCUUAAUAAGUUUAUAUGAUAAACUUUGGAUCUUCUCCACCAAACAUCAACUUCCGUGUUCUAUUUAUAAAAAAAAUGUAGGCAAACAGAAUGAAUUUUUUUAUUUCAUACAGUACGGGAUACUCGACAACCUUAAAUUCUAAUAGUGAUUCAAUGUGUAAAUUCAAUUUUAAUGUACAAGAAUAGAGAGAGGAGAGAGUAAUUCUUA